CGGUAAUUCCAGCUCCAAUAGCGUAUAUUAAAGUUGUUGCAGUUAAAAAGCUCGUAGUUGGAUUUCUGGUCGGGGUCAACGGUGCGCACUCGCGCGCCUGCGUCCUCUGCCAUCCUUCUGUUAAGCCCGUAUAGCAUUCAUUUGUUGACGGGUGGCUCAGAUGUUUUACCUUGAGAAAAUUAGAGUGUUUCAGGCAGGCUAGCGCCGGGAUACAUUAGCAUGGAAUAAUGGAACAGGACUUUAACCUCUUCUGUUGGUCUGAGGGGUUAGAGUAAUGAUUAAUAGGGAUAGUUGGGGGCAUUAGUACUUAACUGUCAGAGGUGAAAUUCUCGGAUUUGUUAAAGACUAACUUAUGCGAAAGCAUUUGCCGAAGAUGUUUUCAUUAAUCAAGAACGAAAGUUAGGGGAUCGAAGACGAUCAGAUACCGUCCUAGUCUUAACCAUAAACUAUGCCGACUCGGGAUCGGGGGCAGCAUCAUCCGCCUUCGGCACCGUAUGAGAAAUCAAAGUCUUUGGUUCUGGGGGGAGUAUGGUCGCAAGGCUGAAACUUAAAGGAAUUGACGGAAGGGCACCACCAGGCGUGGAGCUUGCGGCUCAAUUUGACUCAACACGGGGAAACUUACCAGGUCCAGACACAGUGAGGAUUGACAGAUUGAUAGCUCUUUCUUGAUUCUGUGGGUGGUGGUGCAUGGCCGUUCUUAGUUGGUGGAGUGAUUUGUCUGGUUAAUUCCGUUAACGAACGAGACCUUAGCCUACUAAAUAGUCGCACCAAUUUACAUUGGCCGCGUACUUCUUAGAGGGACUUUGUACAUUAAGUACAAGGAAGUUUGAGGCAAUAACAGGUCUGUGAUGCCCUUAGAUGUCCUGGGCCGCACGCGUGCUACACUGACACAUACAGCGAGUUUUCCAGCUCCGCGAGGCAGCUGGCAAUCAGCAAUAUGUGUCGUGAUGGGGAUAGAUCUUUGGAAUUUUUGAUCUUGAACGAGGAAUGCCUAGUAAGCGCAAGUCAUCAGCUUGCGUUGAUUAAGUCCCUGCCCUUUGUACACACCGCCCGUCGCUCCUACCGAUUUCGGGUGGUCCGGUGAACCCUUUGGACCUACCUUUGGCCUCGAGCCACUAACUGGGAAGUCGAGUAAACCACAUCACCUAGAGGAAGGAGAAGUCGUAACAAGGU
rnacentral:rRNA from 1 species